CCCCCCCCCCCCCCCCCCCCCAUUUCCCCUUAUGUUAUCAUUUCUUGGCAGUGAGGAACAGUGGGCUAUUGAAAAAAUAUCUUACAAGUCAGUGUACACUGACUUCCUGUUUCAGAUAGAGGAAGUUAUGUCAUUAAUGUCUCAUUUCUAGAGGGUUGGUUUUUUUUUUUUUUGGCCUUUGUUUAGAAAAAAAAAUGUCCACAAUAUAUGGCAAGCUUUCACUUGUAGAGUGAAAUAUAUGUUUGCCUGUUAUCUGGUUCAAUAUUUUAACUUUUUAUUUUGAAAAUAUUAUCAAAUAACUGCCACUACAUCUGGAUAAUAGUGGUAAAUGUUUUGUUUAGAAAAUGAUCAGCUCUUAUAACUGUAAAACAACACAGUUAGCUGUUUAUUACAAUUAUUUACAACACUGUAGCUGCCUCAAUUGCUUGAGUAUAUCAAGAAAUAUGUUUAACAUUAUUUGCUUAGUUAAUGUGCUAAAAUAACAGGAAUUCCUAAUUUAUUGAAUUGAUUUGAAUGAAUGAGUUCUUUCUCAU